GAUGAACGCUGGCGGCGUGCCUAAUACAUGCAAGUCGAGCGAACAGACGAGGAGCUUGCUCCUCUGACGUUAGCGGCGGACGGGUGAGUAACACGUGGAUAACCUACCUAUAAGACUGGGAUAACUUCGGGAAACCGGAGCUAAUACCGGAUAAUAUAUUGAACCGCAUGGUUCAAUAGUGAAAGACGGUUUUGCUGUCACUUAUAGAUGGAUCCGCGCCGCAUUAGCUAGUUGGUAAGGUAACGGCUUACCAAGGCAACGAUGCGUAGCCGACCUGAGAGGGUGAUCGGCCACACGGGAACUGAGACACGGUCCAGACUCCUACGGGAGGCAGCAGUAGGGAAUCUUCCGCAAUGGGCGAAAGCCUGACGGAGCAACGCCGCGUGAGUGAUGAAGGUCUUCGGAUCGUAAAACUCUGUUAUUAGGGAAGAACAAAUGUGUAAGUAACUAUGCACGUCUUGACGGUACCUAAUCAGAAAGCCACGGCUAACUACGU
rnacentral:rRNA from 1 species